rnacentral:rRNA from 1 species
UACGAAGGGGGCUAGCGUUGCUCGGAAUCACUGGGCGUAAAGGGUGCGUAGGCGGGCCUUUAAGUCAGGGGUGAAAUCCUGGAGCUCAACUCCAGAACUGCCUUUGAUACUGAGGAUCUUGAGUUCGGGAGAGGUGAGUGGAACUGCGAGUGUAGAGGUGAAAUUCGUAGAUAUUCGCAAGAACACCAGUGGCGAAGGCGGCUCACUGGUCCGGUACUGACGCUCAGGAGCGAAAGCGUGGGGAGCGAUCCGG